rnacentral:rRNA from 1 species
UACGUAGGAUGCAAGCAUCAUCCGGAGUGACUGGGCGUAAAGAGUUGCGUAGGUGGUUAGUAAAGCGAAUAGUGAAACCUGGUGGCUCAACCAUACAGACUAUUAUUCGAACUCACUAACUCGAGAGUGGUAGAGGUAACUGGAAUUUCUAGUGUAGGAGUGAAAUCCGUAGAUAUUAGAAGGAACACCAAUGGCGUAGGCAGGUUACUGGACCAUUCCUGACACUAAGGCACGAAAGCGUGGGGAGCGAACGGG